UACAGGGGGUGCAAACGUUGCUCGGAAUCAUUGGGCGUAAAGAGCGUGUAGGCGGCCUGAAAGGUCAGCUGUGAAAACUCGAGGCUCAACCUCGAGACGUCGGUUGAAACCAUCUGGCUAGAGUCCGGAAGAGGAGUGUGGAAUUCCCGGUGUAGCGGUGAAAUGCGCAGAUAUCGGGAAGAACACCCGUGGCGAAGGCGGCACUCUGGGACGGUACUGACGCUGAGACGCGAAAGCGUGGGGAGCGAACAGG
rnacentral:rRNA from 1 species